rnacentral:rRNA from 1 species
GAUGAACGCUGGCGGCGGGCCUAACACAUGCAAGUCGAACGGGAAUUCUGUAAGUGCGACUUCGUUCGGUUUGAGGCAAUCGUAGGGGUGGCGGGUGGAUUAACUCCUGGGUAAUCGGGCAUAUACAGGGGGAUAACCUUCAGAUAUGGCAGCAAAUCCCGAAUAAGCGCACACAGGUGCAUGGCGGAGUUUGUCAGACUCAGGUGGCCUAGGAUGGACCUGGGUUGGCUUAGCGGGUUGGGGGGGUAACGGCCCCCCAAGGCGACGAUUCGUAGCCGGGCUGAGAGGGUGAACCGCCACAUUGGGACUGAGACACGGCCCAGACUACUACGGGAGGCAGCAGUGGGGGAUAUUGCACAAUGGGGGAAACCCUGAUGCAGCGACGCCGCGUGAAGGAAGAAGUUUCUCGGUAUGUAAACUUCUAUCAGCAGGGAAGAUAGUGACGGUACCUAACUAAGAAGCCCCGGCUAACUACGUG